rnacentral:rRNA from 1 species
UACAGAGGUCCCGAGCGUUGGUCGGAUUCACUGGGCGUAAAGGGUGCGCAGGUGGGUUGGCAAGUUUGAUGUGAAAGCCCCGGGCUUAACCCGGGAAUGGCAUUGAAUACUGCUGAUCUGGAGGAUCGGAGGGGGGACUGGAAUUCUUGGUGUAGCAGUGAAAUGCGUAGAUAUCAAGAGGAACACCAGUGGCGAAGGCGAGUCCCUGGACGAUACCUGACACUGAGGCACGAAAGCCAAGGGAGCAAACAGG